AAAACCGCCUAUUAUAACGAGCCUCCUCGGAGGGCGAGAUUAUGGGAACUCUAGCCGUGCAAAACCCCCUACAAACAAUUUGGUGGAAGACGUGCGGGAUGGAGCUCGAACCCUAGGCGGAGGAUUAAUUCCUCCUCGUUCCGCCGCGGAAUCGAAACCCUACGGUGAUCGAAGAACAUCCCUAGAGAUCGCCUGGAACCCUAGACGAGUCGGAGGGAAGAAUGGAGAAGAAGAAGAAGUUGGGGCGAGAUAAGGUUCAUGGUAAAGGGCGGUGCUUGGAAGAACGAGGAGGACGAGGUUCUCCAGGCGGUGGUGAUGAAAUACGGCGAAUAACCAGUGGCUCGAUCCUUCCGUUCAAGAAGGUUGAUUCUUUUGACUGAGGAAGAGAUUGGUGGUAAUAAUAGGGCACAAAGUACGACACUCUUAAUAAUUUGGUCGCAGGACAUGAUGCAUAACAGGAGAAUCUUAUGUAUUUCGCUUAUCAUCAGAGUUAUGUUCUCGCGAGUAUGGCUGGCAACAGCAAAAUCUUGCUGCUUUGCAAAAUGACUUUGAGAUCAUGAAGAAACGAAUCAAUGAUAAAGCGAAACAGCCAACACAAAUUGAAUGGAGGAUUAAAGUCUCAUGCACGGAUUCCAGGGAGGUGGUGAAGAACGAUUGGUUGGAAGGUGUAGGGAAGAGAAACAGGUGCUCCAGGUCUGGCAAAUUAGAACCGAGUUGGGCGAUGGAGAUGAUCAAAUCAAAGUGGGGAAGCUACUUUGCUAUGGGCCAUGCGAGCGAGCGGCCUACCGUGGAGAAGUCCAGACGGGCUUUACGCUUUCUGUUGACAUAGCAAUAGCCGACGUAACUGGUAAAGCCGAACUAAAAAGAUCGUCCUUGUUUGACAAACUAUUAAACAGCCCUGGAGUUGCCAAGGGACAAUGUGCUUAUCCUUGCUUGAUAUAAGCAGUACUCCUGUCAGCAAAAGAGGAAGUAAAGGGGAAGAAGAAAAUAGCAAAUAAGCAGUAUAGUGAUUACAAACGAAUGACGCGGUUCCUGUGGAAUUACCUUGGGAAGGCCUUAGCUGUACAACUCUCUCUCUCUCCGUGGUUUCGUUGUUUGGUGGUGGGCGCUCAGAAGCACCUUUUCUCCUGUUUUCACGGGCACGGUAUAACGUACGUCGUCCUGCAAAACUGCAUGAGAAGCAUAUGCUGAUGACUUUUUGGAGUACGGCGCAUGCUCUUGACAAAACCUGGCUACACACUGGGGUACCAGCAGUCCAGCAUAACCCGAGAGGUCCGUCCACAUCCCCAGUCAACCCAUUUAGUGGAGUUGCUGCCUCCACUAAAUUAUUUGCUGCUAUUUUACUGUGAGAAUGCCUCUGGCCUUCGCAUUUGUACUCAAUGGCAAGGCCACUCAGAAGCUCAGCGUGGAAGUGGCCAUUUUUUUUUUCCCCUUUUUUUCAUUUUUUCUGGAGCGAUGCCAAAAGUUGUACCAAUCUUGUUUCCACUGGUGUUUUUAACUUUUCACAGGAUCGAUGUCCUAUUCCUGCCCUCGCCCACUCGUUCUACUUCCUUUGCACAGCGGGAACCUUAGAUUAGUUCGUUUCUACCGUGAAGGCACAGUAUCUCUUGAGAGUACUCUGAACCUGUUCUAAAAGAUUUCUGUUGCGUUCAUUGAAUUUACUUUUCAUCGUAAUCGUUAACCCUUAAGAAAUUUGGACUUAGAUGCCAAAUUCUAUGCCCCAUGUCAUGAGUUCAUUUGGGGUUUCUGAUCGUUACUUUUACAUGAGUUUUUUCAUCAAA